rnacentral:tRNA from 1 species
UUCCUGAAGAACUAGUGGUUAGGCCUCGGCGCUCUCACCACCACGGCCCGGGUUCAAUUCCCGGCGAGGGAA